rnacentral:rRNA from 1 species
UACGUAGGGUGCAAGCAUUGUCCGGAUUUAUUGGGCGUAAAGAGCUCGUAGGCGGUUUGUCGCGUCGGAUGUGAAACCUCGGGGCUCAACCCCGAGCCUGCAUUCGAUACGGACAGACUAGAGUGUUGCAGGGGAGACUGGAAUUCCUGGUGUAGCGGUGAAAUGCGCAGAUAUCAGGAGGAACACCGGUGGCGAAGGCGGGUCUCUGGGCAACAACUGACGCUGAGGAGCGAAAGCGUGGGGAGCAAACAGG